GGAAGUAAAAGUGUAACAAGGUUUCCGUAGGUGAACCUGCGGAAGGAUCAUUAUUGUAUAACCGAGGUGCGAGGGCUGUCGCUGACCCGAAAGGUCGUGCACGCCCGAGUGCCCUCACACACAUCCAUCUCACCCCUAUGUGCACCACCGCGUGGGUCCCCCUUUGGCUUGUUCGGAGGGGGGCUUACGUUUUCACACAAACUUUGUAUGCAGUGUAGAAUGUAUUUUUUGUUUUUGCGAUCACGCAAUCAAUACAACUUUCAACAACGGGUCUCUUGGCUCUC
rnacentral:misc_RNA from 1 species